AUACGGAGGGUGCAAGCGUUGUCCGGAUUUAUUGGGUUUAAAGGGUGCGUAGGGGGCGUGUUAAGUCAGUGGUGAAAGCCUGCAGCUCAACUGUAGAGGUGCCAUUGAUACUGACAUGCUUGAGUAUGGACGAGGUAGGCGGAAUUUGUGGUGUAGCGGUGAAAUGCAUAGAUACCACAAAGAACACCGAUAGCGAAGGCAGCUUACUGGACCAUAACUGACACUGAGGCACGAAAGUGUGGGUAGCGAACAGGAUUAGAAACCCCGGUAGUCC
rnacentral:rRNA from 1 species